rnacentral:tRNA from 1 species
UGGUUCAGAUGGCAAAGCAUCUGCCUGCAAUGCAGGAGACCCAGGUUCAAUCCCUGG